GAUGAAGAACGUAGCGAAAUGCGAUAAGUAAUGCGAAUUGCAGAUUUCAGUGAGUCAUCGAAUCUUUGAACGCACAUUGCGCCCGCCAGCACUCUGGCGGGCAUGCCUGUUCGAGCGUCAUUUCAACCAUCAAGCCCCCAGGGGCUUGUGCUGGGGCCCUGCGGCUGCCCGCAGGCCCUGAAAACCAGUGGCGGGCUCGCUAGUCACACCGAGCGCAGUAGCACAUCUCGCUCAGGGCGUGCGGCGGGCUCCUGCCGUGAAACCCCCCACUGUAACCCCAAAGGUUGACCUCGGAUCAGGUAGGAAUACCCGCUGAACUUAAGCAUAUCAAUAAGCGGAGGA
rnacentral:misc_RNA from 1 species